CCUACGGGAGGCAGCAGUGAGGAAUAUUGGUCAAUGGGCGCUAGCCUGAACCAGCCAAGUAGCGUGAAGGAUGAAGGCCCUAUGGGUUGUAAACUCCGUUUAUAGGGGAAAAAAGUGCAGUAGGUAUACAGCAUUGCAUGGACCGUAUGAAUAAGGAUCGGCUAACUCCGUGCCAGCAGCCGCGGUAAGACGGAGGGGCCGAGCGUUAGCCGGAUUUAUUGGGUUUAAAGGGAGCGUAGGCGGGUUGUUAAGUCAGUUGUGAACGUUAGCGGCUCAACCGUAAAAUUGCAGUUGAUACUGGCAUCCUUGAGUACAGUAGAGGUAGGCGGAAUUCCUGGUGUAGCGGUGAAAUGCUUAGAUAUCACGAAGAACUCCGAUUGCGAAGGCAGCCUGCUGGACUGUAACUGACGCUGAUGCUCGAAAGUGUGGGUAUCAAACAGGAUUAGAUACCCCGGUAGUC
rnacentral:rRNA from 1 species